rnacentral:rRNA from 1 species
UAGGGAAUCUUCCACAAUGGACGCAAGUCUGAUGGAGCAACGCCGCGUGAGUGAAGAAGGGUUUCGGCUCGUAAAGCUCUGUUGUUGGUGAAGAAGGACAGGGGUAGUAACUGACCUUUGUUUGACGGUAAUCAAUUAGAAAGUCACGGCUAACUACGUGCCAGCAGCCGCGGUAAUACGUAGGUGGCAAGCGUUGUCCGGAUUUAUUGGGCGUAAAGCGAGUGCAGGCGGUUCGAUAAGUCUGAUGUGAAAGCCCUCGGCUUAACCGAGGAACUGCAUCGGAAACUGUUUUUCUUGAGUGCAGAAGAGGAGAGUGGAACUCCAUGUGUAGCGGUGGAAUGCGUAGAUAUAUGGAAGAACACCGGUGGCGAAGGCGGCUCUCUGGUCUGUUACUGACGCUGAGGCUCGAAAGCAUGGGUAGCGAACAGG